rnacentral:lncRNA from 1 species
AUGGCUGCUGGUAAUUCUGCAAAUUAUGGUAGUUUGCAAUCAAAUAAUGAAUGUUUGUCCUCUGAAUAUGAGAAAGGUGCCGCCCAAGAGGUACACAUCGAUCCAGUGAGCAAUAGCAAACCCACUAAUGCUAAAAACACGGAGGAAGACAUGGAAUCAAGUCCCAGUGGCCCUGUGUUACAAGCCCAGGACCACGCCGAAGUUGUUGCAGCCAAUGCUGAAGAUCCACCCAUGAAGAUUAAAGUAGAACAAGAAGAGGAAGAUGAAUGUGUAGUUGUUGAUAUAGACGAGGUCGAGGAAGGAAAUCUGGCUUUUAUGUCUAACGUUACCAACGAAGGAGACUCGUCUGAGAGAGAGAAAAGUGCCGAAGGUGUGCAGUCGUUGUAGCAGAAGAGGUUAGUUUCUCGUUCAUAUAAUCUGCUCCACCUUAAAUGAUAUUGCAGUAUUGUUAUGUUGCCAGUAGAGGGUAUGGUUUAAUCGAGCGGCAGCCU